rnacentral:rRNA from 1 species
GACGAACGCUGGCGGCGUGCUUAACACAUGCAAGUCGAACGGAAAGGCCUGCUUUCCCUUGUGGAUUGCGGGUACUCGAGUGGCGAACGGGUGAGUAACACGUGAGUGAUCUGCCCCCAACUUGGGUAUAAGCCUGGGAAACUGGGUCUAAUUCCCGAUAGGACUGCAGGGUGGUGCCUGUGGUGGAAAACGAUUUUCUAGUGGUUGGGGAUGAGCUCGCGGCCUAUCAGCUUGUUGGUGGGGUAAUGGCCUACCAAGGCGGCGACGGGUAGCCGGCCUGAGAGGGUGGACGGCCACAUUGGGACUGAGAUACGGCCCAGACUCCUACGGGAGGCAGCAGUGGGGAAUAUUGCACAAUGGGCGGAAUCCUGAUGCAGCGACGCCGCGUGGGGGAUGACGGCCUUCGGGUUGUAAACUCCUUUCGACCGCGAGGAAGCCACCUGGUUGGAAGGGUGGUGACGGUAGUGGUAGAAGAAGCACCGGCUAACUACGUG